GACGAACGCUGGCGGCGUGCCUAAUACAUGCAAGUAGAACGCUGAAGGCGGAGCUUGCUCUUCUGGAUGAGUUGCGAACGGGUGAGUAACGCGUAGGUAACCUGCCUGGUAGUGGGGGAUAACUAUUGGAAACGAUAGCUAAUACCGCAUAAGAGCAGAUGUUGCAUGACAUUUACUUAAAAGUUGCAAUUGCAUCACUACCAGAUGGACCUGCGCUGCAUUAGCUAGUUGGUGGGGUAUCGGCGUACUAAGGCGACGAGACGUACCAGCAGUGCGAGGGGGAUCGGCCAGACUGGGACGGAGACACGGCCCAGUCUCCUACGGGUGGGACCCGUAGGGCAUCUGCGGCAAUCGGUGGGAGUUUGACCGCACAAGGCCGCGGGAGUGUGGAAGGUCUCCGGGUCGUAGAGCACUGUUGUAAGAGUAGAACGAGUGUGAGCGUGGAAAGUUCACACUGUGACGGUAACUUACCAGAAAGCGCCGGCUAACUACGUG
rnacentral:rRNA from 1 species